UGGGUUAGUCCGCACGAGCGCACCCUUGUCCUUAGUUGCCAGCAUUCAGUUGGGCACUCUAAGGAGACUGCCGGUGACAAACCGGAGGAAGGUGGGGACGACGUCAAGUCAUCAUGGCCCUUACGUGUAGGGCUACACACGUGCUACAAUGGGAGAUACAGACGGUUGCUAAAGCGCGAGCUGGAGCCAAUCCGAAAAAGUCUCUCGUAGUCCGAAUUGCAGUCUGGAACUCGACUGCAUGAAGCCGGAAUCGCUAGUAAUCGCGGAUCAGCAUGCCGCGGUGAAUACGUUCUCGGGUCUUGUACACACCGCCCGUCACACCAUGGGAGUGCAUUGCACCAGAAGUAGAUAGCUUAACCUUCGGGGGAGCGUUUACCACGGUGUGGUCCAUGACUGGGGUGAAGUCGUAACAAGGUAGCACUAGGGGAACCUGGGGCUGGAUCACCUCCUU
rnacentral:rRNA from 1 species